CCUACGGGUGGCAGCAGUGAGGAAUAUUGGUCAAUGGUCGGGAGACUGAACCAGCCAAGCCGCGUGAGGGAGGAAGGUACAGAGUAUCGUAAACCUAUUUUGUCAGGGAACAGAGGCGGGGACGUGUCCCCGGAUGAAUGUACCGGAAGAAAAAGCAUCGGCUAACUCCGUGCCAGCAGACGGGGUAAGACGGAGGAUGCGAGCGUAAGCCGGAUUUAUUGGGUUAAAGGGGUGCGCAGGCGGUCUGUAAAGUCAGGGGUCAAAGCCAGGGGCCCAACCACGGCCCGCCGUUGAAACUGGCAGUCUCGAGUUGGAGAGAAGUAUGCGGAAUGCGCGGUGUAGCGGUGAAAUGCAUAGAUAUCGCGCAGAACUCCGAUUGCGAAGGCAGCAUGCCGGCUCCACACUGACGCCGAGGCACGAAAGCGUGGGUAUCGAACAGGAUUAGAUACCCCAGUAGUC
rnacentral:rRNA from 1 species